UACGUAGGGGCCUAGCGUUGUCCGGAUUUAUUGGGCGUAAAGAGCUCGUAGGCGGCACGGUUAGUCAGGUGUGAAAUCUCCACGCUCAACGUGGAGGGGUCACCUGAUACUGCCGAGCUGGAGUACGGUAGGGGCAGAGGGAAUUUCCGGUGGAGCGGUGAAAUGCGUAGAGAUCGGAAAGAACACCAACGGCGAAAGCACUCUGCUGGGCCGACACUGACACUGAGAGACGAAAGCUAGGGGAGCGAAUGGG
rnacentral:rRNA from 1 species